UAUUGCACAAUGGGGGGAACCCUGAUGCAGCAAUGCCGCGUGGGUGAAGAAGCACUCCGGUGCGUAAAGCCCUGUCAGCAGGGAAGAAAAUGACAGUACCUGGACAAGAAGCCCCGGCUAACUACGUGCCAGCAGCCGCGGUAAUACGUAUGGGGCAAGCGUUAUCCGGAUUUACUGGGUGUAAAGGGAGCGUAGGCGGCCUGGCAAGCCUGAUGUGAAAUACCGGGGCCCAACCCCGGGGCUGCAUUGGGAACUGCCAGGCUGGAGUGCCGGAGAGGCAGGCGGAAUUCCUAGUGUAGCGGUGAAAUGCGUAGAUAUUAGGAGGAACACCAGUGGCGAAGGCGGCCUGCUGGACGGUGACUGACGCUGAGGCUCGAAAGCGUGGGGAGCA
rnacentral:rRNA from 1 species